rnacentral:lncRNA from 1 species
CUUCCACUACACACCACUGCCUAUGAGCCUAGCUUAAUCUUCAGAACGAUUCCAAAGUAGCUAUCAUGAUCCUCAUUUUACAAACAAAGAAAUUAGUCCCAGAAAGAUUAAUGUGACCAAAUCACAAAUCACAGCUAAUAGGUGAAGAGGCUGGGAGAAUUUAAACUCAGCCCUAUUUAACUCCAAGUCCAUGCUUAUGAAGGUAAAUAAUAUAGUACAUAUUCAACACUCAAUAUAAUUCUUCUUUCCUCUGAUCGGAAAGCAGCAAGUUGAGUUAUUACUAUAACACAGAGUAUUAUUCCUAGUGGCUUCCUCUUCCUUCUUCGGUCCUAGGUGGCUAAACUUCUAUUGAACUAUCAAUCUCAGGUGCUUUUCUUGUUGGAGUGGGGAGGACAGAACUCUGCCAUAACCUUCCAUGAUAUUAACCUGGAAAAAGUUUAACCCUGGCCAAAUCUAACACUAUACACUUCACACCCUUAUUUAAGUGGCUGAAUCAUGCUAAUUUGUCUCCUUUUACAUUAAUUGCCCUGAACCUCAAAUGGGCAUUUAUUGCCCAGAAUUAUUACCGCCUUUCUUCAGUAAGUUCAUUUUCCCACUGUUAGAGAAUAUUAUUUCACACCACUUCUCUUCUCAGCCCUCCAACACACCCUGACAAAAUUUCAUCCCACCCCCAUCUCAUAAUUCUCCCUUCUCUGUUGCAGCAACAAUUUAUACCUUUCCACUGGGUCAUCCCAUAUAAUUUACAAACAUCUCCUAGCACUCAUAUUUAAAAACAUCAAAAACCAAAAGCAAAACCCUCCUUUGAAUCCACAUCUGGCUAUAGCUACCACCCCACUUCUCUGCUAUCCUGCUCAGCUAAAUCUUUGGAAGAGUGGUUUCAUCCAUCUCCAUUUCACCACCUUCACCAAUCAUCUCUAUUCACCAAUGUCCCUGAAACUGACAUUAUCAGGGGCUCUAGUGACCUCCACGUUGCCAAAUGCAGUGAUCUUUUCUGUCUUCAGCCUCUCAACAGCCUUUGAAAUAGCUGAUCACUACCUUCUUAAAACUUCUGUCUGGCUUUGGUGACACCAAAUUCCUGGUCUUCCUACCUCACUGCUUGCUUUCUACUUCACUUGCUUCUUCUCAGACUCUUGUUUUACAGGUGUCUCCUCCUCCACCUCAUCUCCAAGCAUUAGAGUACCAUAGGGUCAGUCCUGGGUCCCCUUCUCUUCUCCAUUCACACAUUUUCUCUAAGUGAUCACAUUCAUGCUCCAAAGUGCACAGAAACUGGGGAUACAUAACGAAGCAAAGUAUAUCCCUGUGCUCAGGGACUUACAUUCCAGAAGAGGGAGAGGCAAUAAGCAGUAAAUAAUUUCGUACAGAUGUAAUAAAUAUAAAAAAUUAAAUGUGAUAAACUAAAUCAUGUUCUUCUCUCCAUAAAAAUUUUCAAAUAGUUUCCCAAGGUGGAAGUCCAAAUUCCUUACUAUGACCUUGUUACAAGAUUCUGUGAGAUCUGGCUUCUGUUUGUCCCUCCAACCUUAUCUGUACUACUCUAUCAGACUGCAACUUGGCUCUAGUCGCACCGGCAUUCUUUCUAUUCCCUCAAGGUUCCAAUUUUUUUCCCUUCAGCCACGUGUUUCCCCUAUCUGGAAUGCUGUUCCCAGAUCUUGGACAGGUUGCUUCCUCUUAGCUCAAGUUUUCACUUCAACAGAGUGAAUUUCACUAAGUCAGCUCCCUCAUCAUUUUCUCUAUCAAUUACACCUUUUUGUUUUAUAGCACUUAUUACUUUACAGAGAUUUUGCUUAUUUAUUUGUUAACAAUAUCUGUUGUCCCUACUAAAAUGUAAGCUUCGUAAGAAGAGGAAUCUUAAGAUGUUGUUUACUAUAGUAUCCCUCAAAGUCUAGAACAGUGCCCAACAUAAGAGGAUACUGAUAAAUAUUUUUUAAAAGAAUUUACACACGCCUGUAGUCCCAGCAGUUUGGGAGACCGAGAUGGGAGGAUCACUUGAGCCCAGGAGUUCGAGGCUGCGAUUGCGCCACUGCGCUCCAGCCUGGGCGACAGAGAGA